rnacentral:rRNA from 1 species
AAUAGAUACCCUGGUAGUCCACGCCGUAAACGAUGAGUGCUAAGUGUUAGAGGGUUUCCGCCCUUUAGUGCUGCAGCUAACGCAUUAAGCACUCCGCCUGGGGAGUACGGCCGCAAGGCUGAAACUCAAAGGAAUUGACGGGGGCCCGCACGAGCGGUGGAGCAUGUGGUUUAAUUCGAAGCAACGCGAAGAACCUUACCAGGUCUUGACAUCCUCUGACAACCCUAGAGAUAGGGCUUUCCCCUUCGGGGGACAGAGUGACAGGUGGUGCAUGGUUGUCGUCAGCUCGUGUCGUGAGAUGUUGGGUUAAGUCCCGCAACGAGCGCAACCCUUGAUCUUAGUUGCCAGCAUUCAGUUGGGCACUCUAAGGUGACUGCCGGUGACAAACCGGAGGAAGGUGGGGAUGACGUCAAAUCAUCAUGCCCCUUAUGACCUGGGCUACACACGUGCUACAAUGGAUGGUACAAAGGGCUGCAAACCUGCGAAGGUAAGCGAAUCCCAUAAAGCCAUUCUCAGUUCGGAUUGC